AAUAGAUACCCGGGUAGUCCACGCCGUAAACGGUGGCGCUAGGUGUGGGGAACAUUCCACGUUCUCCGUGCCGCAGCUAACGCAUUAAGCGCCCCGCCUGGGGAGUACGGCCGCAAGGCUAAAACUCAAAGGAAUUGACGGGGGCCCGCACAAGCGGCGGAGCAUGCGGCUUAAUUCGAUGCAACGCGAAGAACCUUACCUAGGCUUGACAGUUGGGGAAAUCUGGCAGAGAUGUCAGGUCCGCAAGGGCCCCAAAACAGGUGGUGCAUGGCUGUCGUCAGCUCGUGUUGUGAGAUGUUGGGUUAAGUCCCGCAACGAGCGCAACCCUCGUCGUAUGUUGCCAGCGGAUAAUGCCGGGGACUCAUACGAGACUGCCGGGGUCAACUCGGAGGAAGGUGGGGAUGACGUCAAGUCAUCAUGCCCCUUAUGUCUAGGGCUGCACGCAUGCUACAAUGGCCGGUACAAAGGGCUGCGAUACCGCAAGGUGGAGCGAAUCCCAAAAAGCCGGUCUCAGUUCGGAUUGGGGUCUGCAACUCCG
rnacentral:rRNA from 1 species